rnacentral:rRNA from 1 species
GACGAACGCUGGCGGCGUGCCUAAUACAUGCAAGUAGAACGCUGAAGCUUGGUGCUUGCACCGAGCGGAUGAGUUGCGAACGGGUGAGUAACGCGUAGGUAACCUGCCUGGUAGCGGGGGAUAACUAUUGGAAACGAUAGCUAAUACCGCAUAAGAGUAGAUGUUGCAUGACAUUUGCUUAAAAGGUGCAAUUGCAUCACUACCAGAUGGACCUGCGUUGUAUUAGCUAGUUGGUGAGGUAACGGCUCACCAAGGCAACGAUACAUAGCCGACCUGAGAGGGUGAUCGGCCACACUGGGACUGAGACACGGCCCAGACUCCUACGGGAGGCAGCAGUAGGGAAUCUUCGGCAAUAGACGGAAGUCUGGCCGAGCAACGCCGCGUGAGUGAAGAAGGUUUUCGGAUCGUAAAGCUCUGUUGUAAGAGAAGAACGAGUGUGAGAGUGGAAAGUUCACACUGUGGCGGUAUCUUACCAGAAAGGGACGGCUAACUACGUG